CGGACGGGUGAGUAACACGUAGAGAACCUACCUUACACAGGGGGACAACGGCUGGAAACGGCUGCUAAUACCGCAUAAGCACCCAGUUUCACAUGAAACAGAGUGAAAAGAGUAAAUCGGUGUAAGAUGGCUCUGCGUCUGAUUAGCUAGUUGGUGGGGUAAAGGCUCACCAAGGCGACGAUCAGUAGCCGGCCUGAGAGGGCGACCGGCCACAUUGGGACUGAGACACGGCCCAGACUCCUACGGAAGGCAGCAG
rnacentral:rRNA from 1 species